rnacentral:rRNA from 1 species
UACGUAGGGGGCAAGCGUUGUCCGGAAUCAUUGGGCGUAAAGCGCGCGUAGGCGGCCCUGUAAGUCCGCUGUAAAAGUCAAAGGCUCAACCUUUGAAAGCCGGUGGAUACUGCAGGGCUAGAGUCCGGAAGAGGCGAGUGGAAUUCCCGGUGUAGCGGUGGAAUGCGCAGAUAUCAGGAGGAACACCAAUAGCGAAGGCAGCUCGCUGGGACGGUACUGACGCUAAGGCGCGAAAGCGUGGGGAGCGAACAGG